GACGAACGCUGGCGGCGUGCUUAACACAUGCAAGUCGAACGGUGAACGAGGGAGCUUGCUCCCUCCGGAACAGUGGCGCACGGGUGAGUAACACGUGAGCAAUCUGCUCCGCACUCUGGGAUAAGCGUUGGAAACGACGUCUAAUACCGGAUACGACGCGGGUGGGCAUCCUCUCCGCGUGGAAAGAACUUCGGUGCGGGAGGAGCUCGCGGCCUCUCAGCUUGUUGGUGGGGUAAGGGCUCACAAAGGUGACGAGGGGUGCCCGGCCGGAGAGGGUGACGGGCCACACGGGGACGGAGACACGGCCCAGACUCCACCGGGGGGCAGAGGGGGGGAAUAUGGCACAAGGGGCGCAGGCCGGAGGCAGCAACGCGGCGGGGGGGAGGACGGCCUUCGGGUGGAAAACCUCUUUUAGCAGGGAGGAAGCGAAGGGAACGGAACCUGUAGAAAAAGCACCGGCAAACUACGG
rnacentral:rRNA from 1 species